rnacentral:rRNA from 1 species
AACGAACGCUGGCGGCAUGCCUAACACAUGCAAGUCGAACGAGACCUUCGGGUCUAGUGGCGCACGGGUGCGUAACGCGUGGGAACCUGCCCUUAGGUUCGGAAUAACUCCCCGAAAGGGGUGCUAAUACCGGAUAAUGUCUUCGGACCAAAGAUUUAUCGCCUUUGGAUGGGCCCGCGUUGGAUUAGCUAGUUGGUAGGGUAAAAGCCUACCAAGGCGACGAUCCAUAGCUGGUCUGAGAGGAUGAUCAGCCACACUGGGACUGAGACACGGCCCAGACCCCUACGGGGGGCAGCAGGGGGGAAUAUUGGACAAUGGGCGAAAGCCUGAUCCAGCAAUGCCGGGGGAGUGAUGAAGGCCUUAGGGUUGUAAAGCUCUUUUACCCGGGAUGAUAAUGACAGUACCGGGAGAAUAAGCUCCGGCUAACUCCGU